AUUGAACGCUGGCGGCAGGCUUAACACAUGCAAGUCGAGCGGGGUGAUGGUGCUUGCACUAUCACUUAGCGGCGGACGGGUGAGUAAUGCUUAGGAAUCUGCCUAUUAGUGGGGGACAACAUCUCGAAAGGGAUGCUAAUACCGCAUACGUCCUACGGGAGAAAGCAGGGGAUCACUUGUGACCUUGCGCUAAUAGAUGAGCCUAGGUCGGAUUAGCUAGUUGGUGGGGUAAAGGCCUACCAAGGCGACGAUCUGUAGCGGGUCUGAGAGGAUGAUCCGCCACACUGGGACUGAGACACGGCCCAGACUCCUACGGGAGGCAGCAGUGGGGAAUAUUGGGCAAUGGGGGGAACCCUGAUCCAGCCAUGCCGCGUGUUUGAAGAAGGCCUUAUGGUUGUAAAGCACUUUAAGCGAGGAGGAGGCUCUUUUGGUUAAUACCCAAGAUGAGUGGACGUUACUCGCAGAAUAAGCACCGGCUAACUCUGUGCCAGCCGCCGCGGUAA
rnacentral:rRNA from 1 species